rnacentral:rRNA from 1 species
ACGGCUCAGUAACACGUAGUCAACAUAACCAAAGGACGUGGAUAAACUCGGGAAACUGAGGCUAAACCGCGAUAGAUCAAGAUAUCUGGAAUGGUUUUUGAUCGAAAUCUAUAUGGCCUUUGGAUUGGACUGCGUCCGAUCAGGCUGUUGGUGAGGUAAUGGCCCACCAAACCUGUAACCGGUACGGGCUCUGAGAGGAGGAGCCCGGAGAUGGGUACUGAGAAAAGGACCCAGGCCCUAUGGGGCGCAGCAGGCGCGAAACCUCUGCAAUAGGCGAAAGCCUGACAGGGUUACUCUGAGUGACUUUCGCUAAGAAAGUCUUUUGACAUCUCUAAAAAUGGUGUAGAAUAAGGGGUGGGCAAGUCUGGUGUCAGCCGCCGCGGUAAUACCAGCACCCCGAGUGGUCGGGACGAUUAUUGGGCCUAAAGCAUCCGUAGCCGGUUUUACAAGUCCUCCGUUAAAUCCAGCUGCUUAACAGAUGGGCUGCGGAGGAUACUAUAAGACUAGGAGGCAGGAGAGGCAAGCGGUACUCAGUGGGUAGGGGUAAAAUCCGUUGAUCCAUUGAAGACCACCAGUGGCGAAGGCGGCUUGCCAGAAUGCGCUCGACGGUGAGGGAUGAAAGCUGGGGGAGCAAACCGGAUUAGAUACCCGGGUAGUCCCAGCUGUAAACGAUGCAGACUCGGUGAUGGACUAGCUUUAUGCUAGUCCAGUGCCGCAGGGAUGCCGUUAAGUCUGC